GAUUUGGCUUUUAAUCUGCUC
rnacentral:siRNA from 1 species